ensembl:lncRNA
UAACCGCUUCUGACUGCUUCCCGGGGAGGGGAUGUCACUAAUUUAAACCGAAAUGUUUUACUUUAGUUAUGUGUUUGUCCUGACAAAUUCCAAUUCUCGUUUUCAGUUCAGAAUCCAACAACCUUGGCUUGUGUCAGCAGAUGAAAGACCAUGUAUGGUGUCCCUGAUAGCAGCCAAAUUUGGACCAAAUAUCUCAAAGGAAGAAAUAGGUUCAAUUCUGCAGUCACAUCUGACUGGUGUCAGACCUGAGGUGUGCUUGAAGGAAGGCUGGUGGGACUGGGUCCCUUUAUUAAGUGAAAAACCUUUUCUGAGCAACUAAAGCCAUACAUAAUCCUAAAGAGGCCAAACAGUGCAGCUUUGAGAAGUGGACAGAGAAGGCCUGCUGCUUAGGCUGGAAAGUUUUGCUCAUCAAUAUCUGAACACGGAGGGCACUCCUUUAGGGUGAGAGUGAUUUACGAAUGGCUUGAAAAGUUAGGACUAACCACCUCCAAGUCUGAAACUUGUGCAGGAUGAAGAAUGUCAGCAAUACUUUCUGAACUCAGCCACCAGCUCCUGUUCAGUCUGUAGUACAUCUGUUAGAAAGACAGUUGCACACAGCUUAAGGAACCCCUCCGAUCCACAUGUGAAUGAAUCCAAUGGAUAAUUACCAUUACUGUUGCUACUUACCAAUUUACUUCAGCUUCAACAUGGCAUUACUUUGCAACCACUGGACUAGAGCUUGUCAUGGCUUUUUUUUCCUGAGACUAAUCUACUCGUAUAUUCAAAAAUCCCUUCUAUAAGUAGAUAGCUUACACCAUAUUCAAGUCAUCUUGUUGUCUUCCGAUAGAGAUUCUAAAACUCUAGCUUUCGGGGCUUCUUAUUUGCCAGUCACUUAAUUUUCCACCACCUGUGCAGCUGCCAUUGCAUCUUUGGAAACACUGACACUCUAAUGAUAUUUCACACUUCUAAACUAAAGAAGUCAAGUGCAUAAGAAAACACUUAGAUUAUACUUUAGCUAUCCAACUGCUCUUCAACUGUUUCUAAGCCUGCAAUUUCCAAAAGGACUGAGAGAGAAAAAUAUCUACUGCAUGUGGUUUUGUUCCCAAAUUUUUUCAACUAUGAUUAAGGUUGCCAGAAAGGUACUUUACAGCAAACUAUACAAUAUAUCCUUCAAGCUGUGGUGUCUGCUUUUACUUCUGCUGCUUGCAGCUUGCUUUCCUCUUUACCUGACUGUGCAAAAUCUAUAGAAAAUAAAUAAGUUUAAAAAUAUUUUUGAAGCCAUCUGCACAUACUGAAAUGAGAAAGGUACUUCUCCUGUCCAGAGCUUUACAGAAAUGACAAUCCACUGCUCUUAGAAAUCAAGAGGAACAGUAACUGAAAUAAAAUCAGUAAAGGUAUAUAACAAAUUAUUCUGAGGAGGUGAUGUAGAAUAGACAUGAGACUGAGUAUUCCAUAUAGCCACAGGGAUGAACAGGUGAUGUCACACUGGAUGUGAAUCUUUUACAAUAUGCUUAAGACAAAAUUUCUGGACAGUGCUUUUUUAAUUCUAGUUUAUCAGGAGGCCCCUGGCUAUAGCAGUGUGUCAAACAUGACUUUCUGGAUAAGUCAUUGUUGUAGUCUUGCUCAACAAAGACGUGCUUUCUUCAGAGCUCAACAUUAAGGGAAGGAUGAAACUGAGUGAUAUGUGGCUUUUGUACCUGUAUUGUGUACAGUUCUCUUGUCCUGCAGCUGAUGUUGUUGCUGAAAGUUGGUGUUAAAAAUUUAAAUGUUGUCUUCCGGACCAUGUUUAAGAGGACUCAACAGUCCUUUCUGGGCACAGAUCUCUAUAACUGUAGAAGUAUAUACUGACAGCGAAUGUUUUCCACGUCCAUAGCUCAAACAGUUGAAAUCAAGCCUUGGAGCUCUCUGCCUCUUCUCGCUUCAUAUAUUGAGCUCAGAGGGUAGUAAUUAAUGGGUCAUACUCUGCUUGGUGUCUGGUAACAAGUGCCUCGGGUGUCUGUGCAUAUCCUCUUUAAUGUCUUUAUCAAUGGCCUGGAGAAGGCAACUGUCAGGUUUGCACAUGACACCAAAUCAGGGUCUGAGGAAGGAAUAUGUUCAUCCCUUUUUUAGUACUGCAGUAGCUCAGAAGAAAUAAAAGUCUGACCAUUUAUUCUCAAUGCUGGAAAGUGUUAUGAUGGCUGUGGGGGAGAAUAAACUCUUGUCUGUC